GACGAACGCUGGCGGCGUGCUUAACACAUGCAAGUCGAACGGAAAGGCCCUUCGGGGUCCUCGAGUGGCGAACGGGUGAGUAACACGUGGGUGAUCUGCCCUGCACUUUGGGAUAAGCCUGGGAAACUGGGUCUAAUACCGAAUAGGACCACGCGCUUCAUGGUGUGUGGUGGAAAGCUUUUGCGGUGUGGGAUGGGCCCGCGGCCUAUCAGCUUGUUGGUGGGGUAAUGGCCUACCAAGGCGACGACGGGUAGCCGGCCUGAGAGGGUGACCGGCCACACUGGGACUGAGAUACGGCCCAGACUCCUACGGGAGGCAGCAGUGGGGAAUAUUGCACAAUGGGCGCAAGCCUGAUGCAGCGACGCCGCGUGAGGGAUGACGGCCUUCGGGUUGUAAACCUCUUUCAAUAGGGACGAAGCGCAAGUGACGGUACCUAUAGAAGAAGCACCGGCCAACUACGU
rnacentral:rRNA from 1 species